GACGAACGCUGGCGGCGUGCUUAACACAUGCAAGUCGAGCGGUGCGGCGAACGGGUGAGUAACGCGUGAGUAAUUGCCCCCCUCUCUGGGAUAACAGUUGGAAACGGCUGCUAAUACCGGAUAGUGGGGGAUGACUCGCGGCCUAUCAGCUUGUUGGUGGGGUAGUGGCCUACCAAGGCGACGACGGGUAGCCGGCCUGGGAGGGCGACCGGCCACAUUGGGCUGAGGUACGGGCCAAACUGCUACGGGGGGCAGCAGUGGGAAAUAUUGCGCAAUGGGGGAAACCCUGAUGCAGCGACGCCGCGUGCGGGAUGACGGCUUUCGGGUUGUAAACCGCUUUCAGCCAUGACGCGGUAGUGACAGAAGAAGCACCGGCUAACUACGUGCCAGCAGCCGCGGUAAUUC
rnacentral:rRNA from 1 species